CAUCAUCAUUUUAGCACCAUUUUUUGAAAUGACGUAAAUUAUUCAACAAAAAGAUUAAACACAGCUUAUAAUUGACGUUACUUGCAAACAUCUUUUACAAACAUCAAUAAUAGAUAUCAGUCAUCAUUGUUACAUUGAAAAUUAUUCUUCACAAAUGGCUAUAAAAUGUAUUAAAUUUGAUUCAAACAUAAUCAUUGCCACAUUAUCUUAUACAAGUAUAUAUGAACAAUAUUUCUAUUAAGGUUCGAACGGGCUCGAAACACUGAGUUUUCAUUAUACUAGUAGUAUUUUGGGGAUGUUUCCUCGUGGAGGCUGAAUUUACCGACCGUAGUGCCAAAGAUACCUUCUUUGCCCACCCUGGCGUGUAAGUCGCCAAGCACGAUUUUCACAUCGUGGCGGGGGCAUCUCUCAUAAGUGCGCUCCAAGCACUCAUAAAAGGCAUCUUUGGUCACAUCGUCCUUCUCUUCCGUCGGGGCGUGGGCGCAAAUCAGCGAUAUGUUGAAGAACCUCGCUUUGAUGCGGAUUGUGGCUAGACGUUCAUUCACCGCAGUGAAUGAUAGUACUCGGCGACGAAGUCUCUCUCCCACCACGAAUCCAACACCAAACUUGCGCUCCUUUAUAUGGCCACUGUAGUAAAUGUCACAAGGACCUACUUGUCUCUGUCCUUGUCCCGUCCAUCGCAUUUCUUGGACGGCGGUGAUGUCAGCCUUUAUUUUCACGAGGACAUCAACCAGCUGGGCAGCGGCACCUUCCCAAUUAAGGGACCGGACAUUCCAGGUGCAUGCCCUCAAUUCGUAGUCCUUAUUUCGUUUGCCAUGGUCGUCAUCAAAAAGGGGGUCACUCAUCCGAGGCUGUUGUUCCUUUUCAUUGGGAGUGUUUUUUUACGUGGCGGGUCCCAAACCCAGCGCACAACCCUAUGCAGGGGAUGUUUCGCCUUCUCACUCUAGCUCGCCUUCAAACGGAUGUUCUUAGGCUACCCAGAGGAUACUUGGUCAAAGACCGGAAGUCGUGAGCUGCUUGAGUCAUAUGCAAAAGAAUCGUUUCUGGCCACUCCCAAGUGAAUGGCGAUCAGAGAACUUUCCUCACUUGCGUGAACUUCUACACAUGACUCCAUCCUCCGGGGCCCGAAAUAUGGUUAUCUGUAGUACUAGAUUCCAGCAUAAGAAGAUACAUCAAGCUACCUGGCUGUCUCCGGAUCGAAAAACCACCAACCAGAUCGAUCAUGUUGUGAUAGACGGAAGACACGUCUCCAGUGUUUUAGAUGUGCGUGCGCUCCGAGGUCCUAACAUCGACUCGGACCACUAUAUUGUUGCAGCCAAAAUUCGCACGCGCCUCUGUGCAGCAAAAAACGCACGCCAACAAACACAAGGAAGGUUCGACGUCGAGAAGCUGCAAUCACAACAGACAGCCGAACGUUUUUCUACUCGGCUUGCACUCCUGCUCUCUGAGAGCACUCAUCAACAACUCGGUAUAAGGGAACUGUGGGACGGCAUUUCAAACUCCUUACGUACAGCUGCAACCGAAACCAUUGGUUUUCGGAAAGUGCAAAAGAACAGCUGGUACGACGAGGAGUGCCGUGUCGCAGCGGAGAGAAAACAGGCUGCCUACCACGCAACGUUACGAUCGACCACAACACGUGCGGGAUGGGAUAGAUACCGAGAGUUGAAGAGGGAAGCAAGACGCAUUUGCAGACAGAAGUAGAAAGAGGCCGAAAUGCGUAAGUACAAACAGCUUGAUAAGCUGGCCGAAAGGGGUAAUGCUCGAAAAUUCUACGAAAAAAUGCGGCGGCUUACAGAAGAUUUCAAGACCGGAGCAUACUCUUGUAAAACCCCCAAAGGUGAUCUAGUUACCGAGAGCAUACUUAGAUUAUGGAGGGAACACUUCUCCAGCCUGCUGAAAGGCAGUGCACGUAUAACACCAGGAGAAGGCGAACCCGAUUCCCCAAUCGAUGACGAUGGAGCAGACGUUCCAUUACCCGGCCAUGAAGAAGUUCGAAUAGCAAUUGCCCGCCUGAAGAACAACAAAGCGGCAGGGGCCGACGGAUUGCCGGCCGAGCUAUUCAAACACGGCGGCGAAGAGCUGAUAAGGGGCAUGCAUCAGCUUCUUUGUAAAAUAUGGUCGGACGAAAGCAUGCCCAACGAUUGGAAUUUAAGUGUGCUCUACCCAAUCCAUAAAAUAGCAGACCCCACAAUCGGCGCCAACUACCGUGGGAUUAGCCUCCUCAACAUUGUAUAUAAGGUUCUAUCGAGCGUAUUGUGUGAAAGAUUAAAGCCCACCGUCAACAAACUGGUUGGACCUUAUCAGUGUGGCUUCAGACCUGGUAAAUCAACAACCGACCAGAUAUUCACCAUGCGCCAAAUCUUGGAAAAGGCCCGUGAAAAGAGAAUCGACACUCACCACCUAUUCGUCGAUUUCAAAGCUGCUUUCGACAGCACGAAAAGGAGCUGCCUUUAUGCCGCGAUGUCUGAAUUUGGUAUCCCCGCAAAACUGAUACGGCUGUGUAAACUGACCAAAAGCUCCGUCAGGAUCGGGAAGAACCUCUCCGAGCCGUUCGAUACCAAACGAGGUUUCAGACAAGGCGACUCCCUAUCGUGUGACUUUUUCAAUCUGCUGCUGGAGAAAAUAGUUCAAGCUGCAGAACUUAAUCGAGCAGGUACAAUCUUUUAUAAGAGUGUACAGCUGCUGGCGUAUUCCGGUGAUAUUGAUAUCAUCGGCCUUAGCACUCGCGCUGUUAGUUCUGCUUUCUUCAGACUGUACAAGGAAGCAAAAGAAAUGGGUCUGGCAGUGAACGAGGGCAAGACGAAAUAUCUCCUGUCAUCAAACAAACAGUCGUCGCACUCGCGACUUGGACUCACGUCACUGUUGACAGUCAUAACUUUGAAGUUGUAGAUAAUUUCGUCUAUCUUGGAACCAGCGUAAACACCACCAACAAUGUCAGCCUAGAAAUCCAAUGCAGGAUAACUCUUGCCAACAGGUGCUACUUCGCACUGAGUAGGCAAUUGAGAAGCAAAGUCCUCUCUCGACAGACAAAAACCAAACUCUAUAAGUCACUCAUAAUUCCCGUCCUGCUAUAUGGUGCAGAGGCUUGGACGAUGUCAACAACGGAUGAGUCGACGUUGCGAGUUUUCGAGAGAAAAAUUCUUCGAAAGAUUUAUGGUCCUUUGCGCGUUGGCCACGGCGAAUAUCGCAUUCGAUGGAACGAUGAGCUGUUCGAGAUAUACGACGACAUUGACAUAGUUCAGCCAAUUAAGAGACAGCGGCUACGCUGGCUAGGCCAUGUCGUCCGGAUGGAUGAAAACACUCCAGCUCUGAAAGUAUCCGACGCAGUACCCGCCGCGGGAAGCAGAGGAAGAGGAAGACCUCCACUCCGUUGGAAGGACCAAGUGGGGAAGGACCUGGCUUCGCUUGGAAUAUCCAAUUGGCGCCACGUAGCGAAAAGAAGAAACGACUGGCGCGCGGUUGUUAACUCCGCUAUAAUCGCGUAAGCGGUGUCUACGCCAAUUAAGAAGAAGAAGUAGUAUUUUUAGCACUUUGUAGUUUUAAAUAACCUUGUUUUGUGAGCAUUGCAAAGAAAAAUGGUCCCAACAAAUUUUUGUUCGUCUAUAAAUUGAUACAUUAUUCGUUAGAUGAGGUUAGGUAAUCAUGCUGAUAUUUGUGACCCAUCAACGCCGGCCCGCUGUGAUGCACAGGAUUCCUGAGGCGGUUAAUAUCAAUUCCAGCCAAUUCAUCUGGUUCUCAGAAGGUAUAAAUAACUUAGUUUAGUGAGAACUGUACAGUAUGGGAAAAAGUUCUAGAUGUUUCAAUCUCACUUUGACCCUUUUAGAACUGCUAUCAUUGCGACAAGAUGAACCUUUAUAAGAGCAAAUAAUUAAAUAUAAAGAUCUCGCUACCGGUUACUAACCAACGCUUCUUGAGCUCACACGAGGUGCGCAGAUCCAGUGGUAGAGUAAAAGAGGCCAGCGAAUUACUGACUGAUUUUUAGCCCAAACCAGCCUUUUAACGAAGAAAGUUGUUUUUAUUUCUUGUGAGGUCAGAUCCCUAGUGAGCGCACUGCUAAUGAGCUCAGGGUCAGUAUUGUCAUUCUGCUACACUUCUUCAAAAAACGGCGUUGGAAAUAGUGCAACCACUGCUGCCAUAAUUGUAGCCACCUCCGAUGAGGCUCCACAACCUACUCCAAAGAGGGUUUAGCAGUGGUUUUGCAUGGAGUCUUAAUUUUGGUGAUAAAUUCUCUUUCUAAUACUUCUUCUGCAGCAGUAAAGCCGACCUUUGGCUUCUUCAUUAUCUUCCUAAUGUUAAGCCUAGAGUACAGCUUCCUACGCAGGUACUUCUGUUACAUUCUAUUCAACCUCAAAGGCUCUAUUGACUGCCGAGUUUUUCGAGCCCAAAGUUUCUCAAGAGUUUUAAUAGAAAGAAGGAGGAGCUAAUAGAUCUUACCGGCUUCCGGAUUGAGCUGACCGGUCUCCAAGUUUUGAGAAUGUGGCCUAAGCUAAUUUCAUAUUACGUUUCUGCGCUUUUGCAGAAUUCUUUAUAUCCAACUUGUUGCUAAAAACGCUUUUGUGGGCUUUUUUAAACAGUCUUCUUUGAAAAUCUGAUUUUUGAUGAUUGCACGGUGCAAUAAAGAUGUUUUACUUUGUUUAUUGCAUAAUUGGCCUUAUAAGGGCGAUAACCUAACCUUUAUUUUCCUAAGCUCUGAUAGGUUUCCGAGGUGGGAGGAAGUGCUGGACCUCACGCUAUCAACAGACACAUACUACAUCGUUGUGGAUAACUGGAGGGUAUCCGGUGGGCCUUCUAUAUCGGAUCACUCCUGGAUAUUGUUCAGCAUCCGCGAGAAAUACAGUACUCCUCUCAAAUAUCGGAACCCUAGAAAGUGGGGAAAAUUUACCAGUAUAGCAACAAAAUGCCUUGAAACGGAGGUAAUACGAGAAUUAGUGAUCCCCAGGAACUAGAUUCAGAAGUAGAGAAGUUGGAAAAAAUCUUAACUACAACUUUCAAUAAAUCCACAUCGCUAACAGUUCUGAAAAAGAGAAAGUCUCUUCCUUGGUGAAACAGCGAACUCAAGAAUUUGAGAACACAACUAAGGAAAGCUUUCAAUAAGAGUUUUAAAACCAAAAUCUUGCAGCCAUAUGAAGAUAUUAUGAAAAGAUACAAAAAAUCAGUCAGGAAAGCUAAAAACGACUGGCGAUAUUUCUGCACAUCGAUAGAAACCGCAAGGCUGAGUAAAAUGCUAUCCAAAGAUCAUACUAAUACUGCCUACAUUAAGGUAAAAGGAAAUGAUUGGAUCUACUCUGUAAAAGAAUCUCUGGAGGUACUUAUUACAACGCACUUCCCGGGAGUCAGCAAACGCCUUUAACGAGGGUUCAACCAGAAUCACCGAUAAACGCAGCUGAUUACCGAGGCCAAAUAGUAGGCAAAAGCAAAACCAAGUAUGCCAUAAAUAGUGUCUCACCAUUCAAAGAGGCACGUCCAGACGAGAUUAUGCCCAAAAUGCUGCAAAAGUUGGUAGAACCAAUGGUUUUAAGGGUUGAAGAUAUAUACAAAGCGAGCAUUCAACUAUCUUACAUCGCAAGAAGUUGGAAAAGAAUUAAAGUAGUGUCCCUUCCAAAACCAGCCAGAAGAACACACGAUAAUGCCGAGGAUUUUAUACCUAUAAGCCUCACCUCCUUUAUGCUGGAGGUACUAGAAAGGCGAAUAGAUUUAAAUUUUAUGGAAGUCCCAACAUGCAUACAUAAAAGGCCCAUCAACCGAAACUGAAAGGACUGACUGUCCUUCACGAAGUGAUAAGUGUAAUUGAAAAAUCACUACACUACAAACAAUACACCAUGGCUGCAUUUCUAGACGCCUUCAAUAAUAUAGAACUGAAUGCUAUAAUUGAUUCUCUGACACAUGGUGGCAUAGAUGACACUGUGUGCAGAUGGAAUGUCGAAUGAUUGUUUUUUUUUUCGCUUUUUGUAAUUCUUUUACAGACAAAUUUACGGAGUGCUGAUUUUCUCUUUUCUUACCGAAGCGUAAUAAGUAAGCUACUACUCUUUGCAGCUUUAACCAGCUAGAAUGUCAAUUUUUUAGGUUGUCGAUGAAUUGAUUUUCGGUUUUUAAUGUAUUAGUAUUGUUGCUGUGUUGAUAUCUGCAACUGUUGGCCAUUUGUUUUCCGACAAUGCUAGUCAUUUAGGCCCAAGUAUCCAUGCGUAGUAAUUUGGGAGAUGUGCCCAAAAAAUAAGGUGACAUUGUAUUUAUUUUGAAAAUUCUUUAUUUAUUCUUCCAAAUCAAUUUCAUCCCCUUCAAAGUAAUCCCCUCCCGAUGCAAUACACUUAUGCCAACGGAUUUUCCAAUCUUUGAAACACUGGUUGUAGUCACUUUCCGGGAUGGACUUCAGUUCCCUCUUCGCUGCGGUUUGAAUCACCUCUAUCGUAUAAAAACGGUGUCCCUGGAGCGGUCUUUUAGGCUUGGUGAACAGCCAGAAGUCGCACGGCGCCAGAUCAGGUGAAUACGGUGGUUGCGGAACGAUAUGGGUUGAGUUUUUGGCGAAAUGAUCACGAAUUACGAUAUUCGCUCGAUUGAUCGGUUGUCAUCGCCAGUUAUAGUGCGUUUCAUGACACCCUGGUAGUCGAAAAGCAUCGUUUCACACACUUCAACGCGACGCCUUUUUUUCCAAAAAUUCAAUGUUUUCGGUACCAGUCGCGAUUUGACGCGCUUGAGGCCCAAAACAUACUUCAAAAUGGUAUUGGCUGAGCCUUUCGAUAUCCCAACUUCAUCAGCAAGGUCUCUAAUUGUUAAUCGACGGUUUUUCAACACCAAAUCUUUGAUUUGUUGAACGUGAGCUUCAUCGGUUGAGGUUGAUGGUCGCCCUGGACGCUCUCCGUCUUCGACACGUUCACGGCCGGCUUGGAACUCACUAUACCACUUGUACACAUUUUUUUAGACAUAGCAUCAUCACCAAAGGCUUUCUGCACCAUCCUCAACGUAUCUGCAGCAGAAAAUUGAUUCCGUAAACAAAAUUUAAUGCAAAUUCUUUGCUCAACAAAUUUCGACAUCGCAAAAAACGAAAAAUUCACUUUUAGCAGCUCACAAAACGACACGUAUCUCAAACAUUAAUGAAUAUAUUGACAUGAAAUUUGACAUUAAUGUGACUGACAGUACUACCAACCUAAAAAAAAAAUAAUUCUCCAAAUCCUUCGACGCGCACAGUUUAAAUUCAAAUGUUACCUUAUUUUUUGGGCACACGCGGACGCGGAAGCAGCAGGAUUAUCUUUCGUGCUUACGUGUCUCCAGGUUGCUUGUGGUAUAAGUUUUUGGAUUUCUUCUACUCGAUUUCAAACAAACUUAUCUUUGUUUUUGAAUGUGCCAAUCCAGCCUAGGGUUAUUGUAGAAUCGCUUCAUGCAUAAACUUUAUGACUUCUUGUGAUGAUUUUACAAACUUUUUAAGCGGAUUAACUUUUGUUUUUGCAGUUAACAGCUUUACGGAAUUGCCAAUUUUGACAUAAAUGACUGCAGCAUACACCUUUCCGGAAGCUUUACCAAAUCCAUGAAUUUCAACCUCGGAUUGCAAAUGUGUUUCUAUCCAUCGUGGGAUACGCACGUUUUCCAAAUCGUUUAUAUUUUCUUGGAAGAUCGACCAUUCUGAUUGUAGACUUUUUGAUAGCUGCUCAUCCCAGUCAGAUUGCUGCAUACAAAGUUUCUGAAUGAAUAGCUUUGCUAUGAUUGUUAUUGAUGAGAGCCAACCCAGUGGAUGAAAUAUUUGAGCAAGCUGUGAAAGAACGCUCCUUUUAGUGGUCUAUUUGGCAUUUGUCAAAUUAAUUCUGAAUUGGAAUUCGUCUUGUUAUGGAUCCCAACAUAGUCCAACAGUUUUUCCUGCUUCAUUUUCUUUAGUUUGAAUUAUUUCGUUGUCUUCUUUCGCUUUUAUAUUUCGUGUUAUGCUACUGCAGUUUGAAAGCCAUUUUUGAAGAUGAAAUCCAAAGAUUUGAAGAUGGUUGCUGAUGCCUUCUUGAAUAGCUUGACAUUGUUUAACUGAAUCUGCGCCAGUCAUAAGGUCAUCCAUAUAGAAAGAAGUCUUCUUUGAUUAAUGUUUGGAGCUGUUUAUUUGGACAUUUAUUUGCAAUUUCAAAUAAUAUACAUACGAGUUAAUGACAGCCUCCACACAGCCACUUGACCAUAACUGUAAACAAUAUUGAAUCUUUACACUUUGUAGUUGUGCGGCCUCAUACAUUAAAAUAGAAUUCGAUAUACUUUUUCCGUUCACAUUAGAAUAAACCAUUCUUAUCUAAACAAUAUUUGUAGCCCUCACAAGAAGGCAUAAUAAAAUCAAAACAGAACACUUAACGUUCUGCCUAAAAAUGCUGAAUAUAUUAAUGUAAAUUGACACUUUCUUCGUUUCAAACUCAACUUCAAUAUGUAAUAACUUUAAGUAAAUAAUUCUUCUUCUUCUUAGACACCGCUUACGCGAUUAUAGCCGAGUCAACAACAGCGCGCCAAUCGUUUCUUCUCUUCGCUACGUGGCGCCAAUUGGAUAUUCCAAGCGAGGCCAGGUCCUUCUCCACUUGGUCCUUCCACCGGAGUGGAGGUCUUCCUCUUCCUCUGCUUCCCGCGGCGGGUACUGCGUCGAAUACUUUCAGAGCUGGAGUGUUUUCAUCCAUCCGGACAACAUGACCUAGCCAGCGUAGCCGCUGUCUUUUAAUUCGCUGAACUAUGUCGAUGUCGUCGUAUAUCUCGUACAGCUCAUCGUUCCAUCGAAUGCGGUAUUCGCCGUGGCCAACGCGCAAAGGACCAUAAAUCUUCCGCAGAACUUUUCUCUCGAAAACUCGCAACGUCGACUCAUCGGUUGUUGUCAUCGUCCAAGCCUCUGCACCAUAUAGCAGGACGGGAAUUAUGAGCGACUUAUAGAGUUUGGUUUUUGUUCGUCGAGAGAGGACUUUACUUUUCAAUUGCCUACUCAGUCCGAAGUAGCACCUGUUGGCAAGAGUAAUCCUGCGUUGGAUUUCCAGGCUGACAUUGUUGGUGGUGUUAAUGCUGGUUCCUAAAUAGACGAAAUUAUCUACAACUUCAAAGUUAUGACUGUCAACAGUGACGUGAGUGCCAAGUCGCGAGUGCGACGACUGUUUGUUUGAUGACAGGAGAUAUUUCGUCUUGCCCUCGUUCACUGCCAGACCCAUUUGCGUUGCUUCCUUGUUCAGUCUGGAGAAAGCAGAACUAACGGCGCGGGUGUUGAGACCGAUGAUAUCAAUAUCAUCGGCAUACGCCAGCAGCUGUACACUCUUAUAAAAGAUUGUACCUGCUCGGUUCAGUUCUGCAGCUCUAAUAAUUUUCUCCAGCAGCAGAUUGAAAAAGUCGCACGAUAGGGAGUCGCCUUGUCUGAAACCUCGUUUGGUAUCGAACGGCUCGGAGAGGUCCUUCCCGAUCCUGACGGAGCUUUUGGUCCCGCUCAACGUCAGUUUACACAGCCGUAUUAGUUUUGCGGGGAUACCAAAUUCAGACAUUGCGGCAUAAAGGCAGCUCCUUUUCGUGCUAUCGAAAGCAGCUUUGAAAUCGACGAAUAGGUGGUGAGUGUCGAUUCUCCUUUCACGGGUCUUUUCCAAGAUUUGGCGCAUGGUGAAUAUCUGGUCGGUUGUUGAUUUUCCAGGUCUGAAGCCACACUGAUAAGGUCCAAUCAGUUUGUUGACGGUGGGCUUUAAUCUUUCACACAAUACGCUCGAUAGAACCUUGUACGCGAUGUUGAGGAGGCUAAUCCUACGGUAGUUGGCGCAGAUUGUGGGGUCUCCUUUUUUAUGGAUUGGGCAUAGCACACUUAAAUUCCAAUCGUUGGGCAUGCUCUCAUCCGACCAUAUUUUGCAAAGAAGCUGAUGCAUGCUCCUUAUCAGUUCUUCGCCGCCGUGUUUGAAUAGCUCGGCCGGCAAUCCGUCUGCCCCUGCCGCUUUGUUGUUCUUCAGGCGGGCAACUGCUAUUCGAACUUCGUCAUGGUCGGGCAAUGGAACGUCUGCUCCAUCGUCAUCGAUUGGGGUAUCGGAUUCGCCUUCUCCUGGUGCUAUGUGUUCACUGCCAUUCAGCAGGCUGGAGAAGUGUUCCCUCCAUAAUCUAAGUAUGCUCUGGGCAUCGGUGGCUAGAUCACCUUUGGGGGUUCUACAGGAGUAUGCUCCGGUCUUGAAACCUUCUGUAAGUCGCCGCAUUUUUUCGUAGAAUUUUCGAGCAUUACCCCUGUCGGCCAGCUUAUCAAGCUGUUCGUACUCACGCAUUUCGGCCUCUUUCUUCUUCUGUCUGCAAAUGCGUCUCGCUUCCCUCUUCAACUCUCGGUAUCUAUCCCAUCCCGCACGUGUUGUGGUCGAUCGUAACGUUGCGAGGUAGGCAGCCUGUUUUCUCUCCGCUGCGACACGGCACUCCUCAUCGUACCAGCUGUUCUUUUGCACUUUCCGAAAACCAAUGGUUUCGGUUGCAGCUGUACGUAAGGAGUUUGAAAUGCCGUCCCACAGUUCCCUUAUACCGAGUUGUUGACGAGUGCUCUCAGAGAGCAGGAGUGCAAGCCGAGUAGAAAAUCGUUCGGCUGUCUGUUGUGAUUGCAGCUUCUCGAUGUCGAACCUUCCUUGUGUUUGUUGGCGUGCGUUUUUUGCUGCACAGAGGCGGGUGCGAAUCUUGGCUGCAACAAGAUAGUGGUCCGAGUCGAUGUUAGGACCUCGGAGCGCACGCACAUCUAAAACACUGGAGACGUGUCUUCCGUCUAUCACAACAUGAUCGAUCUGGUUGGUGGUUUUUCGAUCCGGAGACAGCCAGGUAGCUUGAUGUAUCUUCUUAUGCUGGAAUCUAGUACUACAGAUAACCAUAUUUCGGGCCCCGGCGAAGUCGAUCAGCCUCAACCCAUUUGGGGAUGUUUCCUCGUGGAGGCUGAAUUUACCGACCGUAGUGCCAAAGAUACCUUCUUUGCCCAUCCUGGCGUUGAAGUCGCCAAGCACGAUUUUGACAUCGUGGCGGGGGCAUCUCUCAUAAGUGCGCUCCAAGCACUCAUAAAAAGCAUCUUUGGUCACAUCGUCCUUCUCUUCCGUCGGGGCGUGGGCGCAAAUCAGCGAUAUGUUGAAGAACCUCGCUUUGAUGCGGAUUGUGGCUAGACGUUCAUUCUCCGGAGUGAAUGAUAGUACUCGGCGACGGAGUCUCUCUCCCACCACGAAUCCAACAAUAAAUAAUUAGUAAAUGUAUAAAUAUAAGUAACUUGGAAAUAAACGAUAGAUUUUGUCUCCGGCGAUCCAGUCGACACGACGUGUUUCAUUUUCUCUGCGCGUUGGCAGAUAGAAAAAAUAUAUUUUUUUACAAAUUCCCGCGAUACGGGAAUGAAUUUACGUACUACUAAUAUGGAGUUAAUGCAGUACCAUAAGUCACUGUGGUCAAGUUAUAUUCGUCAAUUUUGUUCAAAGGACUUUAGCGCCAUAAAAUUUUAUGAUAUUCGCGCUCCUUUUUAGCAAUUUUUAUUUGUCUGAACAUUUUUUCCACAUCAGCAGUGAUAACUAUUUUCCAAAGUCUCCAUUUGAGAAGAAUGUCAAAUAUGUCUCUCUGUAGGACCGGAAAACGUGAUGUCAUUGAGGCUUUUUCCGUUCGAAAAUUUUGCAGAUGCAUUCAAUACAACGCGCAACUUCGUUGUUAAGCUAUUUUCUCGUAUUCUCUAUUCUCGUGGUGUGGUAGAUAAUAUUUACCAUUUGAGUGAUCAUUUGCCUUGAUCAUAUGACCAAGGUCCUUAUAUUCGUUGAUGAACUGAUGGUAGUCCUUUUUAAUUUGUUGCCUUUUUGAAAUAUCUUUUCCAUAGAAACGAGGCGCACCACAGCUUGUUUGCGAGAAUCACACAAAUUUUUAUCUUCUUUAAAAGGUAUUUCUACAAUAAAUCGCCCAUUAUCAUCUUCUUUUAUGGUUUCUUUAAAUUGCUUUAAACAUGAAUCACCUUCUUCGAUAUUGUUUUCAUCUGGUAUUUCUUCCAGUUCCUAAAAUAGCUCUAGAUUGGAAGUCGUGGAUGUUAUCUUACUGAAUUUUUUUUGUUUGAUGAUUCCGGAUAAAAUCCAACCGAAUUUUGUCGCUUGUCCAAGGACACUUUUUUGACACCGUCUUCAAUGAUUCGGCUAAAAAUGUCUCCACCAAUUACCAUGUCUAUUUUAUCUGCUUUAUUAAACAAUGGGUCAGCAAGUGUAUAAUUUUUCCAUUGUUUCACAUCAUAUUUAAAUGAUUGAUAUGGUUGAGCAGUGGUCAGUGAUGAUAAAACUACUGCAUCUACUUUUUCCACAUGUUAGCUUAGGAAUCUUGGUUUUAUUUGUACCUGAACCUUGAAUUUUUUUCGCCAACCACAACACCUCCCAGCCCAUGGAGUUUUGUUUGAAUUUUUGUCCUUGGUACACCUAAUAUCUGCGCUGCUUCUACAGAUAUUGAUGUUAUUUGAGACCCUUGGUCAAUUAGAGCUCUUAACAAUACAUAUUCGCCAUUCGCCGCUUUUGCUUUUAUCUGAGCUGGGGCAGAAUUACUUUUGUUGAUGUUGAUUUUGUAGACAUUGAUGCUUUACUAUCCCCAGACUCUGGAUGUAGAAGUUCGUUAUGAUUUUUAUUGCAAAUUUUGCAUUUUAAAUCACUAUCACAAUUUUUGAACCGAUUAUGGUUGAGGCAUCUGUAGCAAAUUUUUUUAUCUUUUGCAUAUUUACGUCUUUCUUCUAAAGAUAUAUUCUUAAGUUUUCGGCAAUCAAUAAUUAUAUGACCCAAUAUCUUGCAAUAGGUACAUUUUAUACUUUGCUGCCUUGCGUUGAAAGACAUAUGUAUGGUUUGCUUUGUAUGUUUGCAGCUUGCGGUUUUUGUACAAUUGUUGUUUAUCCUCUACUGCUUUUAAUGUUUGGAAGUGCUGGUCCAGGAAUCCUUGAAUGUCAGGCUGAAGAACGAUUAGCGAUGAUAGAAGAGCAACGUCUCAUGGAAGAAAAACGUCAGCGAAUGCGUAAAGAAGAAGAAAAGCGUGUAAAAGAAGAACAAAAAAUGAUAUUAGGGAAAAAUAAUUCACGGCCGAAGCUC